rnacentral:rRNA from 1 species
AUUGAACGCUGGCGGCAGGCUUAACACAUGCAAGUCGAGCGGAGAUGAGGUGCUUGCACCUUAUCUUAGCGGCGGACGGGUGAGUAAUGCUUAGGAAUCUGCCUAUUAGUGGGGGACAACAUUCCGAAAGGAAUGCUAAUACCGCAUACGUCCUACGGGAGAAAGCAGGGGAUCUUCGGACCUUGCGCUAAUAGAUGAGCCUAAGUCGGAUUAGCUAGUUGGUGGGGUAAAGGCCUACCAAGGCGACGAUCUGUAGCGGGUCUGAGAGGAUGGUCCGCCACACUGGGACUGCGACACGGCCCAGAUUCCUACUGGAGGCAGCAGUGGGGAAUAUUGGACAAUGGGCGCAAGCCUGAUCCAGCUAUGCCGCGUGUGUGAAGAAGGCCUUCGGGUUGUAAAGCACUUUCAGUAGGGAGGAAGAGUUGAGUGUUAAUAGUACUCAGCUUUGACGUUACCUACAGAAGAAGCACCGGCUAACUCUGUGCCAGCAGCCGCCGUAAAAC